UACGGAGGGUGCUAGCGUUGUUCGGAAUCACUGGGCGUAAAGCGCGCGUAGGCGGCUUUGUAAGUUAGAGGUGAAAGCCCGGGGCUCAACUCCGGAACUGCCUUUAAGACUGCAUCGCUUGAAUCCGGGAGAGGUGAGUGGAAUUCCGAGUGUAGAGGUGAAAUUCGUAGAUAUUCGGAAGAACACCAGUGGCGAAGGCGGCUCACUGGACCGGUAUUGACGCUGAGGUGCGAAAGCGUGGGGAGCAAACAGG
rnacentral:rRNA from 1 species